GCAUGGAUAGCUCAGUUGGUAGAGCAUGAGACUCUUAAUCUCAGGGUCGUGGGUUCAAGUCCCAUGUUGCGCA